UGAACGAUUAUAGCGAGGACAGUUAUAAAAUAGUACAUGAUGUAACAGUGAGGGAAGUUAGAAAAUAGUAGAGUCAUAUAACAGCGAAAAAAAUUAUAAAACAGUGUAGGAUGUCCUGAAGCAUUGUCGAAAGUCAUAAAACAGUGUAGGAUAUCAUCAAACAGUUCCGAAAGUCAUAGAAAAAAUGUAUGAAGUCAUAAAAUAAUACUGAAAGUCAUAAAAUAUUAUCAAAAAUAGUAAAACAGUGCAAAAGUUAUGAAAUAUUUAUGAAAGUCAUAAAAUAAUAUUGGAUGUCAAAAAAUAGUAAAGGAAGUCAUAAAAUAAAAUAGCAAUUCAUGAAAUAAUACAAGA
rnacentral:lncRNA from 1 species